GUGCCAUGCUUCAACCUUCCAGCCGAGAGGAGCUUGAGAGAAGAAUAAAGAAAUUUCUCUUGUUUUGCUUCCACUUCAGCCAAGAGGAACCAGAGAGAGAACACUUAAAGGAAGCUUGUGUCUUACUUCCAUUUCCAGCUUGCUUGAUCGGGUAGAAGGACCAAAACAGGGGAGUUAACUUCUAGCUUGUGUCAAAGGUAACAUGACUUGGAAUUUCAAUUUCUUUCACAUACUUUAGAGGGCUUUUGAUGUAUGUUUGGUUGAGGUUGGAUUGAGGUAGAAACAGGUUGUAGAGACUUGCUUUAUUGCUGGAAAUUUUCCAGCUUGGAUUGAACUAGGAAUAACCAUUUGUUUUCUAGUUUUUGGCUCUUGUUUUCCUGCAAGUUACUAGGGAAUCCUUGAAUCCUUUUCGAUAGAUGAAGCUUGGUGUAAAUAUAGCAUGCACGUAAGCUAGUAGUUGCUAAAAUGAAAUUUCUAGAUUUGACCGAGGGAGAAACAUGAGCUCAAUUUACAGCCGAAUUGGCCUUGGCCUAAAACAUGAAAGUUGUAGGGAAUGACAUUUUAGAGAUGCCUGCAAAAUUUCGGGUCAAUCAGAAUAGUGUAGAGUGAGAAAAGUCAAAAAUACCCCUGCUGCCCUGGUUUCAUCCGAACUUGGGACUUGUUUCUGUAAUUAGCUAAUUUGGCUAGGAAUACUUCUGAACUGGAUGUUGAGGUCUUCUGAGGAAAUGUAGCCUGAUGUCCUAGCUAUCAUUUGGCUUUGGAAUCAAUGGAUUUGGACUUAAGUAGACCGAAUUGUAGUUCGUUAACCAGAACGUGGGUUGUCCACCUGUUUUUACGGUUCUGAACUAGUGUAUUGUAUUUUUGACCUAGUUGCACUACAAACUGGACUGAGUGACCUUCUACAUUGUUGUAGUCCUGUCUCUUAGCUUCGAAACGGUGUAUUUUGCACCUCUAUCCAAUUAUCGUAGUGCCUUUAGUGCCAUUUCCGCAAAAUGUUGUCAAGUAUUGUUUUAUCUGAAAAUGUUUCUAGCUUGCUUUUCGUAAUUAUUGUUGUAUUUAUAUGACUUUAAGCCUAGUGAACGGCUUUUGGACAUGAGAUUAUUCUAUAUGACAUGUUGGGACUGAUUUGAGAAAAAAAUGAAGCCAUUAAUGGCUGGAAAAAUAGGUAAACACAAGGGACAUGCCGUCCGUUUAUUUUCUUGUAAAUUGAAUAAGUUAAAGUGGUUUUUUUGGAAAUAUAUUUUGUAUCAAAUUGAAUGUAUUGCCUUGGAAGUGACUUCGGGUUUUUGAAUAAGGGUUCGAAGACUACAUUUCUAUUCGAACUCGUAUAUUGUCUUUUGGCAAAUAAUGUGACCGUUUUAUCUAUUGAAAACAUGAUACCUCUUUCGUUUCAAACUUCAAAUGGUCCUUAAGCCUUUCCAACCGAUAGAGGUAUGAGUUCGGGUUUUAACGGCCACAAGUGAAUUGCUUUUAAACAAGGUUUUAAGUGUGGAGGUUAAAGUAUUGUAUCCUCCUUUUCACAUGAUUUUCAUCAAGGCAUUGGUCAUUCAUUGGCCACUUGAAUAAAUAUGUUUUCGAGUCACAUAAGCAAUUCCGAAAGAAUGUUUUCUUAGCCCCUCUUCUGGAACUUUGAAUUGUUUUGAGUCAAGUGUUUCCUUUUAGAGACUUUAUAACCCUAUUGGUUUGGGUUGCAUUAGGAUUAUUCUUGUUUACGGAUCCAAAUGCCUCUUUACACUUUGAAAGUCUUUUAUACGUUUACUCGCGAGUAGUCGGGUUUUGGUUGAUUUCCUCUAAAUCAUGUUAGAUGGAUUGUAAUGUGAUCUUUGUGGAAUUUUAGGUUUCAUUGGUGAUUGAGAAUUGGGCGUUGUUUUGCGGUUAUAGGUGAGUGUUCCUUAUUUGUUAUUUUUCCUGAUUAUAUGGCUUGUUUGAAUGAUUGAUAACAUGUUAAACGCUUUCAAUGAUUGCUAAACGAUUUUCGAGGCGAGUGUGUACUUUACCGCACUUAGCCUAAAUGAUUGUGAAAUUUUAAUGAUUGAGCGAUUGAAAUGUUAAUUGUGCAUGAAUGUAGGCCUUCGGGCUGAACUGGCCAUUGCCCCUUGUUACCGGUCGUCUCGAGCCAGUCGGACUCGGUCGAGCGAUUAGGAACUUGGGUGAAUGAUCCGGUAUACUCGAGUAUUACCCUGUAGGUUGGUGGAGCCUGGCCAAAAGCCAGGGACGGGGUGAAUGAAAUGAAUGAAUGAAUGAACGAGGGGUUUUACUUAUACAAAAUGCUUUUUCAAAUGAUUGAAGGAAGGAGAAUGGAAGGAGAAUGAAUGAAUGAACGAUUGGCUCCUUGUGAGCCCGUAUCCUUUUAAUGAAUGUGUUUAUCGCUUUAUUGUACUUGUAUUGUGAAUUGUUGUUUACAUGCAUUUGUUUCUCUUGUUGCCUAUGUGUACGGAACCUCACUGAGCUUUUCAGCUCAUCCCUUUAGUUUUUCUUUUCCUUAGCAGGGGAAGACGUGCGAGGACGGAAGCUACGAAUGGAUUAGCCGUUUUAGUACUUUGGUUUCUUUUGUAAAGGUUCUCGCCCUAGUGCUUGGCACGGGCUGGUUGUAUGGUGAAUUGAGAACCUAUAUUUUGACAGUUGUAUUUCCAUUGAGACAGUAAUGUAUAUAAGUUCACGUUUGAGUUUGGAAUUAUUGUUAUUUCGAUUGUUUUGUGGAUUUUCUUAUCUUUUCUUAUAGUGACUGACUGAGUCCCGGCGAGAGCUGGGCAGGCGGUCCGCCGAUACCCUGGGGUACGCCCUAGGGAGAAGUGGGGCCGUUACAGUUGGUAUCAGAGCCUGCUUCGCGUGGUCUCUGCGCGGAGUGAGCCUGGACUAAGUGAUGAAUAGGUAUGACGGACUAAGUGCUCGUUUGAGCAUAAGCUUUGAACUGUGAAUGUUAUAGGCCUUAAAUCUUUCUCGGGGUAUCUAAGGACAAUAGAUAGGUACGUCUGGGAGGAAUUCCGAUUGUAGAUGGUUUACUCUUGGGACUGGCCAGCUCGAGAAGUGAAUUAUCUUAUUUCGGAUUCUCGUACCCGAGUACUCCAGAGUUGAGACGAUGUUAAGUAUAUGAGAUUUAUAUUUUGGGACCAUGAACAGGCUUUGUCCAACUAGAAUGAGUACCAGAGGUUAAGGGAUAUCCAGUGUGAACAGUAAGUGACGUGAGAGACCGGACGGGGCUACCUUAGCUGAGACUGGGGCGACCAUUACCUCCUUGUUUGAUUCGCCAGUAUAUUCUUAUUAAAUGACGUCUAUUGAUGUAAUUGUGCGUAUGAAUGUUUUCCUGACUUGAUAUGUACUUGUGAAAUUGAUCCUCUAGUUACUUGAUAUGUGGAGUGUUAUGUGCGUAAAUGUUACUUGUGUACUUGGUACAUCGAUGUUGUUGUUUUAGACAUCUUAUCGCCUUUAUUCAUUAAAUUAACUUUUGGAAAAAAAAAGAGAGAAGGGAAAUAUGUAUCUAUGGACGGGAGACGUAGUCGUAGACGUGGUUAAGGCCGUGGAACUAAACGGACCUCAGAACCAAGAGCAGAAAGGGAAAUGUCUGUCGAGCAAGACCAAGGACCGAGAAAUGCAACUGGAGACCAAAUAGCGACGGUAAUGCAACAAAUGACGGAUAUUUUGGCGAGAUUAGUAGAGCAACAAGGCCAAGUCCCGGUAAAUCAACCCCGGAACCCUGAGAUGGGCGAAGAUAAGGCUCUGGAGAGGUUUCAGAAGUUUGCACCUCCAAAAUUCGCUGGAGGGCCUGACCCGGAUACCGCUGAACAAUGGCUAGAGGCCAUGCAAAGCGGAGGGGACAGCUAACAUACCAAAAGGUAUCACAGAAAGAGUCCAUUCAUGAGUGAAGACAGGAUCACAGCCUUAAACUACACCGAGCUAAGGCAAGUGAACUUCGCAGUAUUUCAAUUUGAAGGACCGGCUCGAUCAUGGUGGAACGUAAUUAGAGCGAAAUGGGAAAGGGAACGAACCAUAUGGACCUGGGCGAACUUUACCAGAGAAUUUAAUGAGAAGUACCUCCCACCUUUAGUCCAGGAAAGGAGGGAGGACGAAUUUAUUGGACUACGUCAGGGGACAUUGAGUGUGGCUGAAUACGAAACGAAAUUUACCAAACUAUCCAAGUUUGCCUCAGAAUUAGUCGCUACGGAACCGAGAAGAGUAAGGCGGUUCAUACAGGGAUUGAACUUGGACAUUCAGGAGGCGUUGGCAGCAGCGCAAGUGAAUACCUUUACGGAGGCCCUUGAGAAGGCUCAACGAAUCGAGAGAGUCAAGGCACAAAUAAAGGCCUCCCAAACUCGGAAAAGAGGUGCAUCGGGCAGUGGAUUAGAAGAGUUUAGUGAAUCGAUGGCGCCGUCUAAAGUACAAAAGGGGAGCCAGUUAUCCUAUCCGCCAUGGACAAUAAGGGCGAUGGAUGAGAGGUCUACUAAAGGAAGUCAAAUUGGAUCUAAGGAGAUUUCUCAAGAUAGUCAAAAGGUGACCUCUCCCUUGAUUUGCGGUUACUGUGGAAAGGCCAACCACACCGAAGAUGCUUGUUGGCAGAAAGGGCGGAAAUGUUUAAUUUGUGGAAGCAGUGAGCAUCAAGUGAGCAAUUGUCCGAGGAGGCAUCCACGUGAGGGUAGUACUCAGUCACAAGAUGGAACGAAAUCAAAACCAGUGAAAGAAAGAGGGAACCGAACCAAUGUACCGGCCAAAGCAUAUGCAUUAGAUAACCGAACGGUUCCAGACUCGCCUGAGGCUAAUGAAGGUAAAAAUUUCGAGAACGAAAUUUCCUAAGGGGGGGAGAGUGUGAGAACCCUAACUUCCCUCAAUUUUCUUGGCCUUUUGCUUAUUUUCUUUUCUCCAUUUUUAGUGAAAUUUGUUAACCCUUUCGGUUAAACAAUGGAAGGUUCAUUGUUAUGUGCAUUUGUGUGUGAGAUAUGUAUGUAAGUGUAUGUGUUAGAAGUGCGGUUGAACGCGGCAAUCGAAUUCGGAAAAGAAGAGAAAAUUUUGGAAAAAUGAAGUGGCCAAAUCCGGCCGGAAAUCCGGCCAGUUUCUUGCCGGAUAGCUGGCCGGAUUGCCCUGUAAUUUUGAAAAAAAAUUUGUUUAGCCUCUGCCUCAUAUCCGGUCAAGAAUCCGGCCGGAAAUCCGGCCAGAUUCUGGCCGGAUUGUGACGUGUCACAGCCGGUCAGAGGCUUUGACCGGCUGUUUCUUUCAUUCUUAUCCCACCUUUUUGGUCCAAAAUAUCUCAUUUCUUCCCUGUCCAGCUGUGAGCUUUGAGAGCAAAGAGAGAAAAACUCUUCAAUCUUCAUCUUUGAUUUUUGCUUCAAUCUUGAAACUCCACCAAUAGAUUUUUAAUUCCUUCCAUACAAGUGAGCUUCUUGGAAGGUUAAAGCUUUUGGGUGGAGUGAUUUUUAAAGGGGAGCUUGGAAUUUCUAGUCUUCUUGAGUUGUGAGGUAAGAUAAUUAAGAAAGUUCCCUCUUGCAUUGAUAAUGGCUAAUUUGUGAAUUGUAUGGGUUGGAUAUGUUAUUUUGUGAGUUAUAUCUUGAUUAGGACCAAGAUAAAAGUACAAAGGAAUAAAAUGCAUUUUCCGCCCACAUAUCUUCUAAAGAAAUUCUGCUUUGAAAAUUUAAAGAAAAACUAGGAUGUACUAGUUUUAUUUGUAAGCGAUGAGUGGAAAUAAGAUAUAUAUGCUUUAAAUAUGUGUAAUUUUCCGAUUUUGGUAAAAAGGUGAGUUUUACUUGAAUUUCAAAUUUGAAAAUUUGUGAAUAACUAAUGAGUUGUUGAACUUUGUAUAUGAUGGGUUAAUACAAGAUUAACAUUUUCUAAGCUAAGUUUUCCCCCUUGAUUGUAUAUUGGUGUAAUCUCACACUUGAAUUUGUCCAUGCUUUACACGAAGAAAAAUAUAUAUAUAUAUCCUGAGUUUUCGAAAGAAUGGCAAGGUUAUGUUUAAUAAUGUGAAUCCUGAACUUGAUAAGAUUUCUGAUUACUUGAAAUACUCUUCUUAUGUUUUAAAAUUCUUGACUUUCAAGAAGAGUGAGCCAAUUUUAAAUGUACGGACUGAGGCAACUUUGAGAUAUAGAGCAACUGCAUUCAAGAGUACAAGUUAGUGUGAAUUGAUUUGGUUUCCAUUUGACACGUAAGGUAGCAAGUUGUACUUAUUCUUGGGUUUGAACUUGGAGCUUGAAACUUUAAUUACAAAACCCUAAGACUGGUUAUUUUUGGAGAUGAUGGUGUUCCGAUUGGUGGCUGGUUAUUAAAGAUUUUGAACUUCGAAUGGAUAAUCUUGGUUUUAGCUUGCGUUAUGGCUUUAUUGGAUCUAAUUUCGUAAAGGCGUGUGAUCUGAUUGAAAUUAGUGAUGUGUGGACCCUUUGGUUUAACUAUGGACUUAGAAAGGGGUAGUGCACGCUGUGAGGCCUUUUGUAUCCUGCUUGUAUGUACUUAUAUAUUUUUGUGGCACUUAAUUGCCUAUGUGCAAUAUUGGACAUAUUGGUCUUGUUUUGUAACUUCUAACCGUGCUAUAACUUUUGAUACAUGUAAUGAAUCAUGACCUGAUUUAAAUGUUUUUGCAACUUGUAUACGCGUUACGCUCUUUAUGCUUAGUUAUGCCUUUUCCUGUGCUUAUAGACUUUUCUUAAGUAGGGUAGCAGGAAUGAGAAAAGGGGACCGUGACCGAGGGCUUAGACAACCCUGUACUUGUGAGACAAAUUGAUAGACAGUUUCAUAUAAUUUAAUAGGUCCCUAGUACUGAAUAUGAAUCGAACAUAAACCCGAAGAUCCGAUCUACUAGUGUAUAAUGGAUUAACCUAGCCGGAAACUUGGUGAGAUUUUCUUGUGCGCAACAUAUGUUAUGAUUGGUUCUGUGCCAAUAUAUCAAUCUUAGGAAGUUUGAACUCCGAAAGUAUUGCAGUGGGUUGGUAAGAGAACUCGAACUGCCUGAAACCGAUUAGACUGAGCUUACUUGAGACUUGAACCUGUUUAGGCUAGUGUGCUCUUGCGUAUCCUCAAUGGACCUAAUUUGACUGAAUAUAUGGAAGGUGGACUUGAAUUUUGUGACUGUUUAAGAAUGUGAAUUGCUGGACAGAGGUUAGGCCAGUGUGUUCUUACUCGUACUCAUGACCCUUGAAUUUGAACUUGAACUUGCACUUGAACUUGAACUUAUAUUUUUGUUCGUACUCACGCACCAUGAACCUGAAGUAUUUGGCUCUGCUUUGACCCUACUCUUGAACUUAUUCGUACUGGUGUGGUUGUAGACCGGUUACUACUCUUCUGUAGCGGUUGAACUGAACCUCUCUGGUGGGGCAUUGCUUGUUGUGUUGUCCAGCACCACUAGGGAUGAACUUUUGAUUUGAAGCUUCGCUAUAUCCUGAAUUUCUUCCAAAUGUCUGGGACUUUACGUCCGACUUCAAGCCUUUUGCCUGUUUUAUCUGAUUACGCGAUUAAUUCCCUAUUGGACCAUGACUAUUUGAUAGGUUGGAUUGGUGUGAUAUGUAGUACUUGAACCUGAUAAGUGAUUAUUAAAUAAACCAUGCUUUGCUGGAUGUAAGGGGUAAGUUAGCCUCGUCUGCACUUAUUUCGGGAAUUCGGGCUAGAAAAUUGUUAAAUAAGGGAGCUCAAGGAUAUUUGGCUUUUCUUAUUAAUACCCGUAGCGAUAAGGUGAAUCUGGAGGACACACCGGUAGUGAAAGAAUUUUCCGAUGUUUUUCCUGAAGAAUUGGAGUCCCUACCCCCGGAACGGGAAAUAGCUUUUAAGAUUGAUGUAGCUCCGGGAACAGCACCUAUCUCAAGGACACCAUAUCGGAUGGCUCCAGCUGAAUUAAAGGAAUUGAAGUUACAAUUACAGGAUCUGUUGGAACGAGGUUUUAUACGAGAGAGUGAUUUCCCGUGGGGAGCCCCGAUUUUGUUUGUAAAGAAGAAAGAUGGGAAUUUGAGGCAACGUAGAUGGAUGGAAUUUCUGGAAGAUUAUGAUUGUACGAUUAAGUACCACCCUGGAAAGGCCAAUGUAGUGGCCGAUGCUCUAAGCCGUCAGGUACAAAUGGCUGGAUUGAUGGUUAAGGAAUUUCAAUUGUUGGAGGAAGUUAGCUAUUGGAAUCCUCGAUUAGAACCAAGGAAAGUGAUUUUGGAGAAUAUUGUGAUAACCUCCACUUUAUUGGAACGUAUUAAGGAAUCUCAGGAAAAGGACCCUGAAAUGCAAAAGUUGGUGGAGAAAGUCAAGAUGGGAGACCAGACCGAUUUCACUUUGGGAUCAGAUAGAAUAUUGAGAUUUUGAAAUCGGGUGGUUAUGCCAAAGGAUGAAGGGCUUAGGAAAGAAAUUUUGGAAGAGGCACACCGAUCAAAGUUUACAGUACAUCCAGGAGGGAAUAAAAUGUACCAAGAUUUGAAAAGUAUAUAUUGGUGGAAAAAUAUGAAAAAGGAAAUUGCCCAAUUUGUUCAGACAUGCUUGGUUUGUCAACAGGUUAAAGCCGAACAUCAGAAACCAUCAGGACUUUUGCAACCUCUAGAAAUACUUGAGUGGAAGUGGGAGAAUAUAACCAUGGAUUUUGUAUCAGGCUUACCAAGGACACAGAGAGGCCAUGAUGCCAUUUGGGUGAUAGUGGAUAGAUUGACUAAAUCAGCUCAUUUUCUACCGAUUAACAUAAAGUAUUCAUUGGAGAAUUUGGCCAGAUUGUACUUGGAUGAGAUCAUCAGACUACAUGGUAUACCUGUGAGUAUUGUGUCAGAUAGGGACCCAAGAUUGUUUCGAGGUUUUGGCAAAAGAUGCAAGAAGUGUUGGGGACUAAGUUAAACUUUAGUACCACCUAUCAUCCUCAGACUGAUGGACAAUCUGAAAGAACAAUUCAGACCCUUGAGGACAUGUUGAGGACUUGUGUAUUGGAUUUUGGAGAGAAUUAGAGUAAGUUUUUGACUUUAGUGGAAUUUGCCUAUAACAAUAGUUUCCACUCUUCUAUUCAAAUGGCUCCAUAUGAAGCGCUUUAUGGUCGAAAGUGUAGAUCCCCGAUUUGUUGGGAUGAAGUAGGUGAACGAAAAAUUUUUGACCCGACUACUGUAUCUUGGAUUGAGGAGGCUAAUGAAAAGGUAAAAUUGGUACGGCAAAAGAUUCAAACAGCUCAGAGUAGACAAAAAAAAGUUAUGCCGACAAUCGGAGAAAGGAUUUGGAGUUCACUGUUGGAGAUAUGGUAUUUCUCAAGAUUACGCCUUUAAAAGCAAGCUUGAUGUCCGGAAAAGGGAAGAAACUACAACCAAUGUUUGUAGGACCUUACAAGGUUAUCCAACGAGUUGGGAAUGUAGCUUAUAAGCUAGAAUUACCACCGAGCUUAUCUCGUAUUCAUAACGUGUUUCAUGUGUCCAUGCUUAAGAAGUAUCAUCCAGACCCCUCUCAUGUUUUACAACCGGAGAAUAUUGAGAUCGAUGAAACCCUAACCUAUGAGGAGAGACCGGUAAAACUUCUGGAUCGAAAGGUGAAGGAAUUGAGGAACAAGCAGAUACCACUAGUGAAAGUUCUAUGGAAGAACCAUGGAGUAGAGGAAGCAACAUGGGAAGUUGAAGAGACAAUCAGAGAGAAGUAUCCAGACUUGUUCAUCGACCAAGGUAAAUUUCGAGGACGAAAUUUUCUUAAGGAGGAGAGGAUGUGAGGACUCGCAAAAAAAAAAACUAUUAUUUUAUGCCUAAUUUAUGGCUUAAUGAAUUAUUUAAUUUGAUUUCUAUUCCAAGGAAUAUUUUCUAGUCUUAUUAGACCUAAAUACAUGGUAAUAUAACUUCGUUAUAUUUUUAAAAUGAUUCGUUUCGAAAAUUAAUUUCCUGGAGCGCGUUUCGUAAAAAUAGUGAAUAGUACUUGGAGAUUUUAUCCGCGUAGUAGCACAAUAAGCUUGGAAUAUUGGAGACUUGUACUAUGGUCCUAAAAUAGGUAAUCUUAGGUAUAAAUAUUCAAGUGAUAGUUAGUAGUGCAAUCGUUAUAAGAAUUUUUCGAAAGUUUCGCGUUAUAACGUCAAAUUUGACGGUACGCGUUUUCACACGCGUGACUUUAUUUGAGGGACUUUAGACCCUUAUUUUGGGACAAUUAAGAGUGAAUAAUACUUACAUGAAUAUUAAGGCAUUGGAGGUUUAGUGCACUAGUGAACCAAACGCGCGAAAAAAUCGAGCCGUAAUCGCACCAAACGGCCCCUAAUGAGAGUUGACUUUUGGGUGAAUUUCCACCACUUGUUUUACCUUCUCUUGGAAGCUAAAGGAAAGUCUGAUCACUCUCUCUCCUCCUCUCAAGACAGCCGACCAAACACCCUCCUCUCUCUAACUCAUUUGCUUCAAAAUUUCUGCUCACUAAUCUCACUCAAAACCACCCCAAAUCAUCUCCAAAUUCAACCAAACUUGCACCACACCUAACUUGAUACUUGAGGAGCAUUUUGAGCUGCAAACAAGGGCUGGAAAUCACGGUUUUUCUGGGGCAAUAGAGGGCCGAAAAUUCUGCUGAACAUCAACCCAAAGUAUGUGAUGAUCCACUCUUGAAAACUUGAAGUUUGGAAUCUAUCUUACCUUGUUAAGUUCAUGCAUGCAUUUGGUUAGCUUGUGUAUGGUGUAAAAAUGUGAUUGUGGGCUCUUUGUAUUCCCACACUUGGGUUGUUGUUGCUGAUGUGAUGAUUGAUGGUGGUUAUAUUGUUGGUUUAGUGGUUAAAAUGAUGCAUUAGUGGUGGGUAAUUAGUAGAAACUUCAUUGGGUGUAAGAAGCUAAAAUUUCCGAUUUUGCCCCUGCCAUGUUCGGACAUUUCCAGGCCAAUUUUUAAUGGUCUAACGGCUUGAAUUGGACGUUUAUAGGAUGUAUUAGAUGUGUGAAAAAUUUCAUUGGAAAAUAUUGAGGUUUGAUUGAGCAAAUGAAUUUUCUUGAGAAACUAGCAAAUCUGGAAAACUGUUCGCGUAUGAUUCUGACCAGUGGUAGUAUUUCGGCUAUAACUCUGUCCUCGGAUGUCGAAAUCAUGUGCCGUCGGUGGCGUUUGAAACUAGACAUUCCUGGCUUUAAUUUGGUAUAUAAUGCACGUUCUGAUUCUUUGUGAGCAAGCCGAACCACAUGUUUUAAGUUCGCUGUCCUGUUGCUCUGUUCAUCUGUAAUGAAGUGUUCAGGCAGCAACUUGAUGCCCGAUUUUGCACCAGAUGGGUGCCGAAUUUGGAAACGAUUUCUUUUGUGAUAUUUUAUUGCUAUGAAUGUACUUUCCAACGGCGUAAGCCAUGCUCGAUUUCGAGUUAUAUUGACUGAGUUGUGACUGAAACAAGUGGACUGCUCUGUUUUGGAAAAACCCUAAUGUUGGACUGGUUUGGAACAAGAUCUUGGAGUGAACUUGUUAAUUGAUGUUCUUGAUACUAAACACUUACCAAAGGCAUUAUGGUUGUUUCUUAGGCCUUUAUUUCACAAAUGAACCAUGAUUGGAUAGUUUGCUUGAUUAAACGUUUUGAAAUGGGUAAUGAAAGUCUCAAGGCAGAUUGCCUUAUAAUUUUCCUGAACUUUGGUUGACUAAUUAACUAUCUUUCCGAAAGUAUUUUUCCCUGAAAUUUGAUAGAACGGUACCUUUCAUAUGGGAGUAAAAUACUGCCAAUUUUUGUACCAAUCCAAGUUCGUUUCGAUACCCAAUUAAAUUGCUAGAGUUGGAGGUUCAAAUCUGGAAAUUCUUCUCCAGUCUUGAAUUUCCCCAACUUUGAGCUACCGUAUCUCGGUACUCGAAACUCCGAUUCUUGAUCUGCUUGUUUUGUUAUAAACCUCACUUGUAACACUAAUUGAGCUACAAAUUUCAGAGGCCGGUUUGCAACGUGUGAAUCGUGCCGAAUUUCCAAAGUUGGCCGAAAUCCAACUUAAUUCUGCCAUGAAAACCAACCCUGCGUCUUCAAACUCAUUUUUGAACACUUUUCACUUCGAUUCAUAGAAAAGUGUCUUCUAGGGACUUAUAGUACUUUCUAAGAGGUUUCCAACGGUAUAAAGUUUUCCAAUUCUUGACUUAUACCGAGCGAGUUAUGAUUUUUCAAAAAUUCAUAAUAAAACUGAAAAUUUUCCAAUUUCAAAGAAAUAGAGUUUUUCAAGAACUCUUUAUUCUUUUGAUAUUCUUAAACGUUUUGCCCUCGAUUCUCAUGAUAAAAACUCAAAUAAUAUUGUACCUAAUAAAAGGCAAGUCGAACCUCGAUUUACGUGUAAUCGAGGUUCCCUUUUCGAAAUAAUCCUUAAAUUGUACUAGUGUACAAUCUUCUUGAUAAGUGGGUUAAUUGUGUAAUUAUCCACUAUUAAUUGCCAGGCGCACAAGGAGACCUUCAAGAGGAACUCACAGUGGACACUUGAACUCCCAGAAAAUAAUUCUUAUUGAAUAGCUCGGUGAGUGUCAAGUGUGUGAAAUUUGAUACUUGCUUAUUUGUGAUAAUUGUUGGAAGUUUUAAGAAUAAGGGCGGGUGCGUACUUUAUCGCGCUCGUUCUAAUUUCAAAUGAAUGAAUGAAAUGUAUUGAAUGAAUGAAUGAAAUGAAAUGUUAUGUCAUGAAUGCAUGUGUCGUUGGAGUGAAACUCCUCGACUUUCUAAUAAAUGGGGGACGCCCAAACUCAUAGGCCGACCUUGGACUCGAGCCGGCAAUGGGCUUGGUCGGGAACCUAGGCGAGCCAUGAGCCAUAUAAGCUCGACCUAAUAAGAGGUCCUGCUUGGCAUACUCGUAGAGUAUCGCCUUAUAAUAGACUUGUGGGCCCUUGGGGUGUACGGUGGACGGAGGGAAGUAAGUGGUGAUCUACGGAAAUGGAAAUACCGACCCGGUUGACAGGAGGGUCAAUGCGGGAAAGUAUACGAAUGACAUCAACAGAGCGAGUGGAACUUAGCUCCUGAGAGCUACUAUAUCCUUGAAUUGUUUCUGAUUUACUUUUCCUGCUCGAAUGAUUGAUUAAUGAAAUAUCCUGGUUUUAUUUAAUGAAUUUGGGAUUGCUAUUUGAACAAAGUGCUUGCAUGUGUGUUCUUGGCCUCACGAGCAUUUUGCUCACCCUAUAGUUUUGUUUUCCUUAACAGGAUCGAAUCUC
rnacentral:lncRNA from 1 species